CUCUCUCCCCCUCCCUCUCUCGAUCUCUAUCUCUCUCUCUCUCUCGUGCUGUCUCCUCCUAGCCCUGAUCUGAAUCUAAAUCGAGAUCUAGAUCGGAGCUCGCCGCUACCGCCUCACGCACACCGGCGUCCGACGCCAUACACCACCCCUUGCUCCCGCCAUGCCCGCCUCUCCUCGCCUUCGAGCUCUUCCCCCUGUUGCUAGCCAACCGAUGUGCCACCAGGCUCCACGCCGACCACAACCUCUCACCUCCUUCCCCAUAAUAGUCGAAUCUGGCAUGGCCUCCCAAGCCGAUGACCUGACAUCUUCCUCAGAUCCGCGCUCCUCUCUUGUGCGGGAUCCAGAGGAUCCACACACGAUGGCUAGUGUUGCUCGUGUGGGUCACCGGCGUUGACCCUCAUUUUUUGUUCAGUCAUGACGGUGACUUAAUCCACCUCCAGGACCAUGAACAGAUCCACCUUAGGUAACCAUGCGAUAUCAAGGGGGGGAUCCAUGCCGACCAUGUCGUGUACCACCAUGGCCUCCAUCGCCAGAUCCAUGGCCGUGCACCACCUCCUCAUCGAUGGUCGUGCGUGAUGGACGUGGUGGUCAAUGAGGGCAUCAUCCACGACCACGCAUGUCCCAUCACCAGCCUUCUUCCUCGACGACCUCCACCUCGUCCUCCUACUUGUUGGUGCUCCUGGCGGUGAGGAUGAACUCCACCUUGUCCUCCUCUACCUUGACCCGUACGCCUUGUCCUCUGUCGGCCCUGUGGUAUCCUCUCUCUCUCCCUCUCUCUCUCCUUGAUUGUGGAGGAUUGUUUUUAUGUUUGCAUGUGAUCGGACGGAUUUGACACAUAGUCAUCUUGGAAUGAAUUCAGAUUUGGCACUUAACCAAUGUAGAGCACUACAUGGGAUCUCUAUAACUGUGAUCAUAUUUACAUGCUGCAAAGUGCACACUUUUACUGAUGAACUUAGUUAAUUUCUAGAACUUUUGAUAUUGAAAGUGCGCACUUUUGAUUUAAAUAGACACAUAUAUCCUAUGAAAGUGCGCACUUUUGAUUUUUUUCAUACACCGAUCCUGUGAAAGUGCACACUUUUGAAUUCUCAAUACGCAGAUCCUAUUAAAGUGCUCACUUUUGAAUUGUUCAUACACAUAUCUUAUGAAAGUGUGCACUUUUGAAUUUCUCAUACGUAGAGCUUAUGAAAGUGCGCAUUUUAAUUGUUCAUACACAGAUCCUAUGAAGUUGUGUAUAUCCUUUUAGUCUGAAUUUUGCAAAUUUCUGUAUUUUUGUCACUUUUUUGAGUUGGGGUAAUUUGUCACUUGGUCGUAUUUUGCCACUUCGUCACAUUUGCAAUAUGAGAUUUUUGGCACUUUGUAAUAUGACAUUUUUGGCACUUAUUAAUUAUCUGUCUCUUUGUCCUAUUUGGACAUUUCGUAAUUUGAGAUAUUUGACACUUGCUAAUAAAAUUGGAACAUUGUAUAUCAUAUUGGCACUUUUAGUUAUUUCCUAAUAGUUGAUUAAGCAUUGUUUGUAUUAAUAACUGAUGCACUAACUAGUAGUUAAUUAGUUGUUUAAAUAUGCCAGUAUUUGAAUUUGAAUUCACACAAGUUGUAUGGCUUCCCCUUCAAAAGGAAAUCUACCACACUUGAGUAUGCAUUGAAACAAGUGUGCACAGUCUACAGGGCGUGCAAUUUGUUCAAAGAGGAGAGAGAGAGAAGAUUUGACACAAUAAUGUAAUGGAAAAGUGGCUUGUAAUUAUUGCACAGAUCACGAAGCAGAAAUAGAUGACAUAGAUAGCCUCUCUGAGGGUACUUCUUGAUGGCAUAACUAUUUCAUUAACAAUAGUAGUUUGGAGCCAUGGUGCACCAUAAGGAAGUUAAUAUACUAACUUUCAAAGUUGAGAUCAUAAACUAGUCACUUGUUUAGGAAGACGCGUGCUAUCUUGUAUCACCAUAAACGAUGAUUUUUUGUCCAACAAAAGAAAGUGUGUUGGAAAGUUAUAUUGAAACUGAUGCAAGAUCAAAUUUAGAAAUAAAGAUCCUAGAAGAUCUCUUUAAUUAUUAGACAAAUUGUUAUCUCAUAUCUCAUAGAUAUUGUAUGUAUAUCAGUGAAUAAAUUCCAGAUCUUCUUGAUAAUGUCAUAAUUUAAUAUUAGAUGAGGCCAUUAAUGUGAAGUUCUAUAUUAAAACAUGUGGCAAGAUUGAAUUCCUCAUUCGGAGAUCCUAGAAUAUCUCGUUAAUUAUUAGACAAAUUUAUAUCUGAUAUCUCCUAGAUGUUGUAUAAAUAACAAUGAUUAAAAUCCAGAUAUUCUAGAUUAUGUAAUCAUUCAAUAUUACAUGAUGCCAUGCAUGGCCAUAGUUUUGUAAGAACUUUAUAUAUACAUCUACCUAUGCAAUAAUCCUCAUAAGCUUCAAGCACUAUCAUAGCAUAAGCGUCUCUCUUCUCCAUAGCUUCUUCUGAAAAUUGUUGAUCUUGCCAGUAGUCAUGGAUCCUAAUGGCUCCUACCCUAACAAAGUUAGAUCUAGUGAAAGUGAUGCCUACAUUUCUCCCUUGCAUGAAGCAUUGAGAGGCACGACAGCCCUGCCAGUGUCAAAUGAUAUUUUGGCCUUUGAGUCACUACCAUCAGAUUCACCUUCCAUGGUGAACUCCUCACUUGCACCCAAUGCACCACUUGAACCUACCAUGAUGUUAGUCAAUGAUAGUUCCAUGAUGCCACACCAUGAGAAUGUAGGCCUAGCACCACUACCACCACAAUUGUCUGAUACAAUUAUUAAUCCUCUAUCCAUGGUUAAUACCAUAGUGCCCCAGCCCAACAAUGAGGAAAUCCAUCAAGAUGAACAUGAAAUGUUCAAGCAUGAGGAUUUCCUUUCAAACCCUUUGUGGAAUUAUGCAGACUCAUAUCAUCAUACCUAUACCUCGCCCAUGGAGUCUCCAUCAUUCACAUCCUUACUCCAAACAGAUCCAAAUUCUAUUGUUCAUACCCAGCUUAACACUAAUGGAGCAAUGGAGGAUGGUUCAAUCUCCGAUAUGCCCACCAUGCAUGUCUCUGAGAACAUACAAAAUGGAAGGCUACUAUAUGACGCUUCUUAUGGUGUACCUGCCCCUAUUUCUCCAUUCAUGACAACCUCGCAUGUACCAAGAGAAGAUAAGACCCCUCUAGUUGGUCCAAAUGGCAUUUUUGGUAGUGGUAUUUUGCAUGGUUCUACAUCCUUGGGUAAUUACACAUGCAAGAUUUGCGGUCGCAAAUUCAUCACAUCUCAAGCCUACGGUGGUCACAUGAGUUCCCAUGCCAAAGAAAGGAAGAAACAACUACAAAGUUGAUCUUCCCAUGGACUUGGACAUCCCAUGAUUACCAUUCUCAGGACAAAUAUUUCUACUAGCGCCAAAAUGGUUGAAGACCGAGAGGUUCUGGCUCAAGUGUAGAAAUUUUAAUAGAUUUUAUUUUUUGGAAACAAAAGUAUCAAUGGAGUAACAUAAGAGUGAGAAUAUGUUGUGAGGGUGUGAAACAAUAGAACCGUAUUUGUUUAAAUGGUAUGUGUUGUUGUUUCCAUGUUUAACUAAUAGAUUCAUCUUUAAUGGUUGUGGACCUUGUUAUUCUCUUCCAUAUUAAUAUAUGAAGGAACCGAGAUUUUUCAUGAA